ACCAGGCGAACUGUGUCCCCAACUGUACAUAGUAGAAUGCAGACGAUAGCAAGGUGACAGCUAUAAUUUCCAUCUAAUUAAGGAAACUUAAAUUAUUUAAUUUUUUCAGUACAUGUAAAAAGAGAUUUUGAUUAACUAAAUAGGCAUACUGCUGGAGAAUUUAGAAACACAAUUUUGUCAGAUAGUAACUUAAGAUUAGAACAAAAUUAUGGAAAAAAUAAGCUCCAAUAUUAAUAGAUAUGGAGGCUGGAUUUGGGGCAUUGUUUUGGAGGGCAAGUAGAUGACUUUCCUGCCUUUAGUUUGUAACUCAUGGGAUUCUAGGUGGCCAGGGCCAUUGCUCAGUAAGACCUUAAAAAGCAGUCAUUCAAUGGUGAGGCAUCUUGGGACUUCUGGAAGACUUUUCAAGGCUCAGGGAUUAGUAGCUUUAUAAAACUGAUUGUACCUAAUCAUAAAACUAACAAUAAUAGUACUAAACUGCUGCAUCAGUCUUUCUUUUCAUGACUUGAAAUCUGGUGUUCAACUCUUCUUGGCUAAUGAAUUUGGCAUUUUUUCCAGAACAGAAUUUUUUGUGGGUAUUAAGUACUU